rnacentral:lncRNA from 1 species
UUAGAUAUUGCUAAACUGAAAAAACAAGUUUUUGAGGCAUCUCAGGCUCAUCUCACCCUAUUGCCUGGAGCUGAUAUUCUUGCUGGAGCCUCUGAUGGCCUUUCUAAUACCAAUCCUUUAAAGUGGAUUGAAACCAUAGGUGGAUCAACAAUUGCAAAUUUUAUUUUGGUUUGUGUCUGUUUAUGUUGCUUGUUUUUAGUCUACAGAUGCAGAUGGUGCCUUGGGAGAGAAACCAGACACCAUGAAUGAGCCAUAAUAGCAAUGGCAGUUAUUAAUAAAAAAAAAUCAAUAGAGGCAAAAAAGGGGAACAUGUGGGAAAGUGUUUCUGGGGUGCCAGUUGAGUUGGUCUCCCCUGUGUGAGACACCCAUGGGAAGCCAUGGGCAGCCUCUGGGGAGAAAAGUCUCCUUAUUGCUUUCAUGUCUUUAUGCCCCAAGAGCAUAACCACUCAGCAGCAUUCCACAGGUUGCUCAGGGAGACAACACUCCCUUGAAGCAGUGGAGUAUAAUCAAACAUCUUGGCUCCUCCUUAAACCCGCUCCCACCCAUUUCAGUCCUGAUAAGCUAAAGAUCUUAAGUAGUUUAGACACACGCCUUUGCUCAAGGAAAUUCACAGAAACCGCCACUGCUACACAUCUUAUGGAAUGACUCACGAGUUCUCCUUCACUGAUUAAUCCUUUUCCUCAUCCCUUCCUCCCCCUCCCAUCUGCCCUAAGAACAAAGAGCUUGUAAACCAGUAAAUUUGGCAGAGCUCAAGAGCUCUGGGCCGUGAGCAAGCCUCCGAUAUUCUGGUCCCCUGAACCCGCCUUUUAAAUGCUUAUUCUGUCUCUUUCUAACUCCUAUGUCUCCACCAGACUCAGGGUACCCACUGGGUGGUGUGGGGCUGGUUUCCCUAACAUUCCCCACCAAAUAAAGCAGCUCCAACCUUCUAGAUGGUUGCUCAGCUCAGAAGUCUUAGAGAAAUUCUGAUGCCUCUCCUCACAUUUGCUCUGUCGGCAAAUCCUGGUGUCACAAGAGGGCUCAGGAGGGUUUCUGGAUGCCAACGAGACCCCAGCCACAGCCGGUCCCCAGAUUCUUGACAUCAUCACAAGAAAGAAUUCACAGAUCGCUUAGCUCCAUCCAACAUGGAAAGGGAUCAGACACGGGCAUCAUUGCCAGAUGAUAAUCCCUGAUGGUCAUCUUGGAUGCUGGCCACCACAGUUACAUUUGAGAUGGUGCACAAGAAGGCUCUCGCCAGAUGCUGGUCUUGUGAUCUUGGACUUCCCAGCCUCCAGAACUAGAAGCUGGCAUCGCUUGGGGGAAGAUGUACACUGCAAACUGUCUACAGAGCUAGUUACAAUAUUUCAUCUACGUCAUGAGCUUUGGGGAUGAGCUAGAGAUGAAACUCCCCAAGGCCAGAGAAGAUGGCAGAGCCAUGAGAUGGAAGGCGCCUGGGCCGCUGAAUCACCACAUGGAAGGUCACUCAUGACAGGAUCCUCGAAGGACCAUGGUGCAAGAAAGAAGUAAGAUUCUGGUCCAGGCUCGGUGGCUCAUGCCUGUAAUCCCAGCACUUUGGGAGGCUGAGAUGGGAAAAUUGCCUGAGGCCAGGAG